ACUGAGUCCUCACUGUGUGGUCUGAUUAAAAGUCAUAGAACUUCAAUAAACACUUGGGUUCGCCAGAGAAAAUUGCACUUCUACGUUUAAUAAACUGAAUCCAAACCCUCCUGUCAACAGCUAAUAAAUACCAGAUGGGGAAUAAUUGUCAAAAUGUGCCAAAUGACUCCGGAAUGGAAGAAAAAAAAUCUUUAAGCAACAAAUCACGCAUAAACAAAAGCGAUAAGAUUCAGAUCGCCAGUGUGGGAUGUUCGGUUCGCCAGCUAAUUUAUCAGCGCAAAUACCGUUAUUAGGAUAAGUGAAUAUUGACAUAGGUUGUGUUUGUUGUGGGCACACAGACAGACACUAAUAUAAGACAAGCUGAAGAGACUUAGAAAGAAAACGGGAUGCAUAUCGUCUUUUUUUCCUCCCAAGGAUAGCAGUGCUGUGCAGCGUCAAACGCCCCGCAAAAAGCCCAUUUUCCCGGCUAUCAGGAACCUACAGGACGCCUCUGACACCGCGGAGGUGAAAAAAGGAAAAACAGUGAAAACAAACGCACCUAUUUCCACCUGUGCAGAGGAGAAGCCCCCUGAAACGCACGCCACCUAUCUUCACGGGAGGGGAUAAUUGAGGAGAGCCAAACGUGAGCAUCUUCUGGGUUGAACGUGAAGUUUUUUUUUCUCUUCCUCCCUCUCUCUGUCUCUCUCUCUCUCCCCCCCUCCUCUUCCUCCUCUUUUCUUUCCCUCAGUCUCCUCUCUCUUUCUCCAUCUCUUCUCUUUUUGAGUGAAACCAACUAUGUCGGGCUUCGACGCGGAGCAAAGAACAGGCGACAGUGUGUGUGUGUUUUUUCUCUCCAUUUCUGUCUCUCUCCAGUGUGUGUGUGUGUGUGAGUGUGUUAGUGUGUAGAAAGGGGGGAGAAACUUGGAGCGCGUCCACGCCGGCCGCAAUCAUGUAAGGAUUUUUGCUUUAUUUCUAUUUCCACUCCGUUUAAUUUGCAGAAAUGGCAGGCUUGAUACGGCGGGAUGCAGGAGAGGGGCUGGGGAGGCAAUUCCACAUAUUCUUCAUUAUUGUAAUUGGCUGCGACUGCAAAAGGUUUGGGGAUGUUCGGCUUUUAUCUACGCUGCAAAAAAUGUCCGCCUGGUCGCUGUCAUUUACUGUAAAACAUUGUUUUUUUCGCAAAAAAAUCUGCAUGUGUGGGGAUGGUUCCUCUUGUUUCCUCUAGAAAUCAACGUUUUCUUGUGUUGAGCUUAAUUUUCUUACCGUCGGAAGAUUUAUUUAAUUUGUUGUAAUUUCACUUGUUUUUAGGGAAUUUAUUGGAGAACAUUUGAAGUGUUUUUAACACGAGUUCCUCGGCGCAUUUAGCAGAAUUCGUGUUUGGAUUUUUUGUGAAAUAUUUGAUUUUAAAUAAAAAAAAAAAAAAAAACAAGUUCACAUGGACUUUUUUGCAGCGUAAUAGUAAAUAAUUGUUUUAUUACCUGUGAUGUACCUGCAGCAUCAACGCGUGCUGCAGGUACAUCAAUGCCUCUGUGUGUGUAAUAGAAGUGCAUAAAGUCCACAUACAAUUACACUCCGGAGGGAACAAAUACAUUUGCAUUUUUGCUUCUGCUUAUUUGCACAAGUCAAUUUUCCAAUUGCACCCCCUAACGAAAACCAACCAAAAUGAAUCCUAAAUAAAUGUGGGGCAUUAUACAGAUAUGACUGCACAAACUACAAGCCAGCAGUGACAGAUAUGACUGCAGGAAUAUUGUGAUGAUACUAAAGGAGGUUAAAAAAAAAUACCAUAAAGUACAAUAAAGUGACUGUAAAGUCACUACAGAGAGCCGCAGACACACUGCGAGUCCCUGCAGGAAUAUUAGAGGAAUAUCACAGGGAUAUUCCAGGAUUAUUAGAGUCAUUUUUCGUUCUGGACGCCACUUAACAGGAUGAAUCUCGCAUUUAUUAAAGAAGUCAACCAUCUUCAGCCAUGUCUGAGACAGAGAGAGAGAGAGAGAGAGAGAGAGAGAGAGAGAGAGAGAGAGAGAGAGAGAAAGCUCCACCUUUGCAGCGCCGUGAUUGGUUAUGUAAAUAAAGUAUUAUUUUGUGUCCUGUCCUCCUGCAGUUCGCCACUGUAUGGCUAAUUAAAUCAUCAAUCAAGGGGCUGAACUGGUUUAUGCCCCCCCUCACACACCCCCUCCAAUCCUUAUUCCAAAAAAACAAAAAAAACAAUCAGAUGCAGCAAAAAGAAAUCACAGACCAACAGAGUCUUAGCUUUUGAUAGGGAUUUUCUAUAUAAACUGUUUUUUUAGACUUCGGUUUUUGAGGUUUUAUAAUAAUAAUAAUAAUAAUCAUAAAAUGUUUAAUUAUUAAUAUUCAGAUAACAAUAAUUGUAUUAUUGUUACUAUUAUAAUUAUUAUUAUUAUCUAAAUAUCUUCAACUUUGUUUCCCUCCAACUUGUGGACCGGAGGACUCAGCCAAGGACUCAGUUCCAAAUUGAGUUUUUUUUGGUAAGUUUACCUUAUUCUCUUUAGUAUUUGAAUCUUUUUCCAUCCCGAAAUUUAGUCAUUUUUUUCUUUUCUUCUUAUCGAUCAACAAUGAGGAGGAGGAGGAGGAGGGCAGAAGCGGGGUGAGGCUGCUCUGCCUCCCGUUUUUCUCGGGUCGAAAGUGGAUCCAGUCCUGGGUGAAUUAUUGUCAUGCGUAAUUUACUGCCACGGUGCUUGCAUGUAAACGAAGCAGUCCAGCAAACCCUCUCUCUCCCUGUCUCUCACUUACACACACACACACACACACACAGACACAGACACACUCUCUCUCUCUCUCUCUCUCUCCCUCUCUCUCUCUCUCCCCACACACACACACACACACACACACACACACACACACACACACACACACACACACACACACACACACACACACUCUUGAACCGUAGCUCUGCGUCCCAUUCAUCCAUGCGAGCCUGGAGUGGCACCUCUCGCCUUUUUUUUUUUUUUUUUUUACGCACACAGGCUCUCCUACGUGGGGCCGCAUGUUCACCGUGAAAACGGAUUACAGUCGGUGUGUGACCUAUAGGGGGACCUUGUGUUUAAUGAAUAUAUCGAUUUAAAUGAGGGGAGGGGGUACCAAAAACAACAUGUGCGCAUGGAUUCAUAUUCAUAUUUCUUUUACAUUUUUUGGAUUGUUAAUUAAAAGAACAAGAUGUUGACGCACAGUUGUUAGUGUGAUUAAAUUAAUUAUGAGGAAAAGAUUGUUUGUAAUGUUUUGGGGAAAAUUGUUAUUUAUGAGGUGAACUGUCAACUAAAGCAGGCUGACAGGUUUGUAAUUAGUUACAAAUAAUUCCUAAUGAAUUGUGGUUAUUUUUAACUGUAUGGCUCAAUGUCUCCUCUGUGUUUGUAUUUUUUCUCUAAAUAAAAAAAUGGAAGCUUUUGCAGCACAUUA